AUUUAUGUUUUAUUAAUUAAAUUUAAUUUUUAACGGAGUUAUAAAGUAGUUAGACGCUGAUUUAUUGAUAUGAUCGAGUAUUUUUCCGUGGCAGGUAAAAUGAAAAUAUUUUAAAAGCACGCAAGGAUAUGUAAAAUAUAUAAUAAACCCCAUAUAAAAACUCAUUAUUAAGAAGAAAAAUAACGAAUCCAAGUAUUGUUUCACAUUAAUAUUAAAACAAAAUAUAUACCAUGUAUACUCGUAAGUUUCCAAAGUUGAAAAGUUCAAAAACCAAAAUAUAAAAAAUUUUAAAGCUGAGCCCACCUACUGUCAAUUGAAUAAUGGAUUUUCUGAGGUUUUACUCAAAUUCAUUGAAUAUUCAUUACUUAAGGUUAUGGGCCUCAUACCGUAUAUACAGGCUGUGAUGAUCGGGCGCCUCUUAUAAAUGGAAUGUAUGAAAUGAAAUGGAAUAUGUGUUUUGUUUUUUCUGUUUUCCCAUACGCUGAGAAUCAAAAUUGGUGUUUUAUUGGAUACAGAAUUUCAAGCCGCUUUUUAACUUUAAGCAUUUUCCAGCAAUUGUUUGGAUCUCAAGACUAUGCAGUAAAGUAUGUGUUUGUUUAAAAAAUAUAAGCGAAUCUUUAGCUCCAGAUUACAUUUGCUGUGACUACUUAUGGAAGUAAUCGGUAUCCUAGUGAGCAAGUGAGCAUAGAAGAGCGGUUGGUUUAUAUCUAAAUUGCUUUUAUAUCUAGUCAGUGGCUAGACUGAUCCUGUGAAGAUAUAUACAUUCAACAGUCAUUGACAUGGACUGCAGCAGUCAUGUAAAGCCAUCUAUCUUUUAAUCAGCUGAUAUAAUGAGAUGCAAAAGUUCAGGAUUAUGGACUACUUCUGAAGUAAUACGUAUCUUUUUGAGUGAUUGGUUUGUAUUCAACUGCAAGAGUCACUUACAUGGAGUAAUAUUGUAUAAGGCCAUCUCUUAAUCAGCUGAUGUGACGAGAUGCAAAAGAUUAGGAUUGUGGACUACUUCGGAACCAAUAGAUAUUCUUUUUAGUGAUUGGUGUGUAUUAAACUACAAGAGCCAGUGCCAUGGAGUAAUAUUGUAUAAAGCCAUCUUUUGAUUAGUGAUGGGAUUUAAAAGUUCAGGAUUGCAUUUUCUGGAACCAUUAUUGAUCUUACAAAAUCAGUUGCUUUAACUGCAAUUGGUUUUCGCUAGUGGAUUUGCUAUGUCUCGAUUGGUUAUUUGGUUAUUUGAUAGAUAGAUCCUGUAAAGACAUGUAUUCACUGAUUUGGAUUGAUUUCAUGGGAUUCAGAAGAAAUUAUUAACACUCGGCACAAAACUUAUGUUUCAUGAGAUAGAAAAACAACUUAGCAAUUUGAGGUUGUUGUACGGAAGCAGUAAGUUGAAUGAAGAUACAUUCCGAUAAGGCGCAUUGCAUUUAUAAUAUAAAAUGCAUAAACAUAA